rnacentral:rRNA from 1 species
CCUANGGGUGGCUGCAGUCGAGGAUCUUUCGCAAUGGGCGAAAGCCUGACGGAGCGACGCUGUGUGAGUGAUGAAGGCCUUCGGGUCGUAAAACUCUUUUGCCUGUGAACAAGAAAAGUACGUGAAUAACGUAUUGAUUUGAGAGUAGCAGGAGAAAAAGCACCGGCUAACUACGUGCCAGCAGCUGCGGUAAUACGUAGGGUGCAAGCAUUAAUCGGAAUUAUUGGGCGUAAAGGGCGCGUAGGCGGAUUGAUAAGUCAGAUGUGAAAUACCAAAGCUCAACUUUGGUGCUGCAUUUGAAACUGUCUCUCUAGAGGAUUGACGGAGAAAGGGGAAUUCCACGUGUAGCGGUGAAAUGCGUAGAUACGUGGAGGAACACCGGUGGCGAAAGCGCCUUUCUAGUUUAGACCUGACGCUGAAGCGCGAGAGCAAGGGGAGCAAACAGGAUUAGAUACCCCANUANUC